rnacentral:tRNA from 1 species
GGCGCAUUCGUCUAGGGGUCUAGGACGUCGGCCUCUCACGCCGGUAACAGGGGUUCGAAUCCCCUAUGCGCUA